rnacentral:rRNA from 1 species
GACGAACGCUGGCGGCGUGCUUAACACAUGCAAGUCGAACGGUGAAGCGCCUUCCUUUUUGGUGGGUGUGGAUGAGUGGCGAACGGGUGAGUAACACGUGAGUAACCUGCCCCCUUCUUCUGGAUAACCGCAUGAAAGUGUGCUAAUACGGGAUAUUCUGGGUCUGUCGCAUGAUGGGUCUGGGAAAGAUAUUGUUUCGGUGGGGGAUGGGCUCGCGGCCUAUCAGCUUGUUGGUGGGGUGAUGGCCUACCAAGGCGGUGACGGGUAGCCGGCCUGAGAGGGUGGACGGUCACACUGGGACUGAGACACGGCCCAGACUCCUACGGGAGGCAGCAGUGGGGAAUAUUGCACAAUGGGCGCAAGCCUGAUGCAGCGACGCCGCGUGAGGGAUGGAGGCCUUCGGGUUGUGAACCUCUUUCGCCAGUGAAGCAGGCCUGCCUCGUUUGUGGGUGGGUUGACGGUAGCUGGAUAAGAAGCGCCGGCUAACUACGUG